rnacentral:rRNA from 1 species
AGCAGCCGCGGUAAUUCCAGCUCCAAUAGCGUAUAUUAAAGUUGUUGCAGUUAAAAAGCUCGUAGUUGAAUUUCGGGAUUGACGUGAUGGUCGUGCCUUAAGGGGUAUGAACUGUUGCAGUCAAUUUCUCACCUUCUGGAGAAAUAUGAUGUCCUUAAUUGGGUGUCAUAUGGAACCAGAACUUUUACCUUGAAAAAAUUAGAGUGUUUAAAGCAAGCUUAUUGCUCGAAUACAUUAGCAUGGAAUAAUAAAAUAGGACGGCAUGGUUCUAUUUUGUUGGUUUCUAGGAUCACCGUAAUGAUUAAUAGGGAUAGUUGGGGGCAUUAGUAUUCAAUUGUCAGAGGUGAAAUUCUUGGAUUUAUUGAAGACUAACUACUGCGAAAGCAUUUGCCAAGGAUGUUUUCAUUAAUCAAGAACGAAAGUUAGGGGAUCGAAGACGAUCAGAUACCG